GAGAACACAACCAACAGCAUCCCACCAUAUGCAUCUGUCCCCAUGCAGAGGUGGCGUCAGAUUUAUGGGGCACUGAUCACUCUUUUCCCCUCUUUCCCCCUCUUUUCCCUUGCAUGUAUGGCCCAAGAGUGCAGAUGGGUGCCAAAGAAUGCACUUUGAGUGAAGUGGCUCCAUGCUGCCAGGAUGGAGGGUGAAGUGGAUGCUGAGGACACUGUCACCCCACCACGGGUGAAACAGCUGGACCUCAGGUGCCCCAGGAUGAAAGCCUCAGCAAGACUGUCACUCAGCCUGAUGCUCCUGCAACACAUGAAGGCUGUGCAGACACCAGGAGACAGAAAUUUGCAAUGUUGAGAGAGAGCAUCUACAAUCAAUAUUACAAGCCGUGUUUGUUCUCAGCUCUGGCCUUGGGAAGAUGCUAAGAAUCAUAAGGAUUUCCAUUCUUCUCCAACCUGGAGGGAAAAAACCCAAAAACAUUUGUCCUGAACUAUUGCUGCUUCCAGAGAAAGUAAAAUCUUCCAAGGAUAUGGCUGAAGAAGCAGUAAAGUGAAGAUUCAUACCUAAGUUCAUAUCCUCCCCUGGCUAUCCUGUUACUACCUCUCCAUCCAGCUUCCCUGUCCUACUUCUCACUGUAAUCUAAAGCUUCUCUGCAUCAGCCAACAAAGCAGAAUUAGAAUCCUAACCAGCCAGGCUCAUCAGCCAGGUCUCUUCUUCACACGAUAGGGAGAGAUGGGUGACUCCACAGGGCUGCAGUCAUUCCCUGCACAAGUCCCACUUACUUCUGGAAGUGCAGAUAUGACGUUUCUGAACCUGCUGAUGCUAAACACCAUCAGAAGAUCAGAUCUGGCCUGUGGCAGAAACCUGGCAGAGAUAGUGUGGCUGGGACACAUCUCGGGUUACUCAGAUCACUGUGUGAUCCUGUUCAUACCCAAAGCUUUAAGUUCUUACUGCUGCCACAGGUGCGCCUGCCACACCCUGGUGUCUCUUUUGAUCAGGAAAAAGAUUUCCUGCAUUAGGAUGGAAAACUCAAAUAAUUUCUUAAGCUAUUUGAGGGGUCUUUUAGAAAUUCCAAACUUUACCCUUGCUGCUUCAAGCAGAGGGCUGGCAGGGUUGUAGAAGCAUGAAAACUUGGGACAACUUGGCGGCUAAGAGAUAACAAAUAUUAUCUCACUGUUUUACCAGGUUACUGAAUGUCUGCAGACAGCAUCCCUUAAGCUCUCAUGUCUUGUUAGCUUAAUCAAACCUGCCCAGAUUCAUGGAAUCACACAGUGGUUUGGAUUGGAAGGGACUUCAAAUGUCCAACUCACCUGCCAUGGGCAGGAACACCUUCCAACUGACCAGGCUGUUCUGGGUAGUGCCCAGCCUAUCCUCCCUGGCCUCCUGUGACCCAGCAGCUGAUGACCACACAGGGUCACACAGCCUCAAGAUGUGGCUCUACCAGGUGACCCAGCAUGUGGCACUUCGUGUACUCAGCCUGAGAUGCAUUGAAAACAGGGCAGAGAAGAUGUUUUCAAGCUUGACAUGUCCAGAGUAGAAAUCCUGUCUCCCUCUUUGAGCAAUGCUAGCUGGUUUGUUUUGGGUCACCACUGGAAUUCUCAGUCCAGGAGUGAAGCUCAGCCACAUGGCUCUGAGGAGGUUUGAGCAACAGCUACCUCCCCUGACCCUUGCAAGUGCGGUCUCCUCUUAUCCACAGGGCUCCAGCAGAAACAAAAUUUGCAACCAUCUUGCUUUUCUAGAGAAAGCAAGUGAAGAUGUCUGAUUGACUUCCUCUGCCUGCUUCGUUUCUCUACAUGUUCUGUUGCUGCUGUCAGAUCCAACUCUUGCCUGAGAAAGGCAGCCCCAAAUCUCCUCCUCCUUCCACAUAGGAACACAUUCAGCUUUUCUGUUUUCGUUUGCUUUUUAGAGGAUUUGUUUCCCCUCCAAUUUAAUCAAUCACUUUCUGAAUAUAACAUUUAUGUUUUGGCGUCAAACAUCCCACAGUAGAGUCAGCAUUAGAACUAUGCAUAGGGGGGAGAAAAAAAAUCACUGUUGCUGAUUUGCAGGGUGAUACUGGACUAUUUCAUUUGGUGCCACCUAGCUGAGAUACAGUAGAUGGCAACCAUGUAUUCACAGUCUUCAUCCUUUCCCAGGAGAUGCAAUACUUUGCUAUAAGAGAAGAGUUUAAAAUGCUCUGUAGGACUCAUCUCUGAGCAUCCCUCCUGCCCCUUGCACAUUUUCCUGUUGUACCAUCUCCUGUCUGGAAAAGGUAAGAACUGCACUGGUGUUCAGUGAGCAAACCAAGCAGAAGGAUCUCAGCUCCAGCUCCCCAACAUCCUUCUGGAUGGGUUCAACCUACAGAUCUACUGUGAGACAGGAAGAAUAAGGGCAUGGUCAUUUUGCCUGCCUAGUUUCUAUAUUUGCCAGACACCAAAUUCUUUCAAGGUAGAUGGAAACUGGAACAAGGGUCAAACUCUCCUCACAGAUUUUAAAGACAGAUUUAGAGCAAAAUGGUGCUUUAAGGACACACAGUUUAUUUCUGUGGAGUUCAGGAAAUGAAUACACAGUUGCAGAAAACACUGUUUUCUUCAUUUUAACAAUACCAACUGAUAAGCAUGGUGGGCUCACUUUGACACAGCCCUGGGCUGGGGUUUUGAUGCACCAGUGACUGAAAGCCAGUCCCACUCCCUUUCAAGAGAAGCAGUGAAAGCCACUCUUGUGUUAAAGGCUGAAAAUAUGGGGUGAUUCUCCCUUGGUAGGAAAACAGGGAAUUUAAGGGCCAUCAGAUUUUCUUUCCCUUUUGGAAAAAACAGCCAUAUCACACUGUCAAGUAUAAACAUAAGCAUGUCUGAAGCUGUUGGAGCCAAUGAGACCAUAAAUAUCAAUCUAAAACCACAGGAGUCUUGUCUGUAGGCCAGUGUUAAAGUUAGGGUGAGCAGUACCCUCCCAGCUUAACCCCGUGGGAAAGUGGCAUGUUCUCUCUUUAUAAGAUUGUGGUUCUAGAAAGUUCCCCAGUUCUUUCCUCUGAUUGGUUUUGGAGUGUCACGUUGUUCUGCAUAUUCCUAAUCAUUGUUUCUUAUUGGACCCUUACCCUCAGAUUCCACCCCAAACCUACCCCUUAUAUACUUUAUAUAUAAAUAUAUAUAUUUGUGCUUACCUUGGCCCUGGCCUUUGGAGUUCACCCUACACUUGCUGGUCAGAUUACCUCAUUUGUUGUUUUACCCUCAUUUACCCUCAUGUUUCAGGUUACUCCAUCGUGCCCGUCCUUUUGUUUUAUCAUCACCAUUACUCUUGACCGACAUGGUCCCGAGGUGGGAGCCAACCAGACCUCGGCCAGGUUCCUACACCAAGCAGCAGGAAAUCUUACAAACUGGGCGUCUUCUAACGCUCUUUCAGUUUUGGCAUCAAGCUCAGGAGGUUCAUGGCUGCACCAUCCAGUCCUCAGGGAUCUCCUGUCCCUUAUCAGUGCAAUCCUAUGGAUGUGCUGACUUUUACAGUGUUGCUGCCUGCCCACAGUAUACAGAGAAACUGAACACAGCCCCUCUGGGCUCACUCUCAAUUUCGUAUUUCAGUCAGGUCUUUUACUGGGAAUUAUACAGCAUUUUACUGACAGGACUGUGUAAACAGUUUAACCCCCUGCAGAACAUAAUCAGGCUUUCCCUUGUAUUUUUUAUGGAAUUAAUAAACAGAUUUGAGCUUU